rnacentral:rRNA from 1 species
GACGAACGCUGGCGGCGUGCUUAACACAUGCAAGUCGAACGGAAAGGCCCUGCUUUUGUGGGGUGCUCGAGUGGCGAACGGGUGAGUAACACGUGAGUAACCUGCCCUUGACUUUGGGAUAACUUCAGGAAACUGGGGCUAAUACCGGAUAGGAGCUCCUGCUGCAUGGUGGGGGUUGGAAAGUUUCGGCGGUUGGGGAUGGACUCGCGGCUUAUCAGCUUGUCGGUGGGGUAGUGGCUUACCAAGGCUUUGACGGGUAGCCGGCCUGAGAGGGUGACCGGCCACAUUGGGACUGAGAUACGGCCCAGACUCCUACGGGAGGCAGCAGUGGGGAAUAUUGCACAAUGGGCGGAAGCCUGAUGCAGCAACGCCGCGUGCGGGAUGACGGCCUUCGGGUUGUAAGCCGCUUUCGCCUGUGACGAAGCGUGAGUGACGGUAAUGGGUAAAGAAGCACCGGCUAACUACGUG